rnacentral:piRNA from 1 species
UGAUAGGUCUAAAGCAUAAAGUAGGAGCUC